GACCCACAACACCGCAGACCCACAACACCGCAGACCCACAACACUGCUGCUCCUUCACUUUCUUUUUUUCUGUAAUCUCUUGAGGCCCCGGUCCUCACGGGUGUCGCCCCCUGGUGACAGGUGCCGCUUAGCGUCAUGGAGAGUCUGGAGAAGCAGCUCAUCUGUCCCAUCUGUCUGGAGAUGUUCACCAAGCCUGUGGUCAUCCUGCCCUGCCAACACAACCUCUGUCGGAAGUGUGCCAACGAUGUCUUCCAGGCGUCCAAUCCCUACCUGUCGACGAGGAGCGGCUCUACGGUGACAUCAGGAGGUCGUUUCCGCUGCCCAUCCUGUCGCCAUGAGGUGGUCCUGGACCGACACGGUGUUUAUGGACUGCAGAGGAACCUGCUGGUGGAGAAUAUCAUCGACAUGUACAAACAGGGCAGCAGCAGUAAACCAUCCUCUGUGGAGAAGGUCGAUCAGCCAAUGUGUGUUGACCAUGAGAAUGAAAGAAUAAACAUUUACUGUGUGAGCUGCAGCGCCCCCACCUGUUCACUGUGUAAAGUGUUCGGAGCACACAAAGAGUGUGAGGUGGCUCCACUUGACACCGUCUUCACUGCACAAAAGAUGGAGUUGACUGACUGUAUCUCCAUGCUUGUUGGGAACAACGAGAGGAUUCAGGCGAUCAUCGGUCACCUGGAGGAAACCUGCAGAGCUGUUAAUGAGAACGGCAGCAGACAGAAGUCGAAGGUGUGUGAAACAUUUGAUCACCUGUUCGCUCUCCUGGAGGAGAAGAAAGGUGAGAUGACGCUGAGGAUCAGCUCUGAACAGGAAGAGAGACUCGACAACAUCCGAGGUCUCAGGAGGAAGUACAGCGAGCACAUGGACGCUGCCGCCAAGCUGCUGGAGAACGUCAUCCAGACGCUGGACGAGUCUGAGAUGGCCGUGUUCCUGCAGACGUCCAAACCUGUGCUGCAGAAGAUCAUGGAGGGAACCAACACGUCUCACCUGGAUAAACUCCAACACGGAUACGACAACAUGGAAAACUUCACGGCUAACUUUAAACGUCAGAGACAAGCGCUGAGCAACAUCAACUUCAUCGGAGGUUACAGACGUCCGUGGCUGAUGAGGAUGAUGAAGAUGAGGUCAGAUUGACGUCAGCAGGAGGUCCAGCUGAGUCGCAGCCACAUGUUGCACCUGCAGCAGCUUCAGCCAACCAGCGGCCUCCUCUUUCACCUGCACAGCCCUCAGACCCCGCCCCUCAGAGACCCUCAGAGACCACACCCACAAGCACGUCACAUACCAUAAACCCCACCACUUCGUCUUCCAGUCAUGCCACGCCCCCGCUGAGCCCGCCCAGUGCCAGCCCCACCCCCAAGGUUCAAUCUGAUCAGAACGAGUCGGACGACAGAGACGGCCAGAGACACGUGUUCUCCUUCAGCUGGCUCAACCAGAAGUAAAACACAUCACGUGUUCACAUCACGUGUUCACAUCACAUGUUCAUAUCACGUGUUCACAUUAUGUCAAAUUCUUUCAAAUAAAGGAUUUUCACAGUC